UGCAGUCGAACGAGAACGGUCCUUCGGGAUGUCAGCUAAGUGGCGGACGGGUGAGUAAUGUAUAGCUAAUGUGCCCCUUGGAGAGGGAUAACAGUUGGAAACGACUGCUAAUACCUCAUACUCCUUCUAUAUUAAUUAUAGUUGGGAAACGUUUUUUCGCCAAGGGAUCGGGCUAUAUGGUAUCAGCUAGUUGGUGAGGUAAUGGCUCACCAAGGCAAUGACGCCCAACUGGUCUGAGAGGAUGAUCAGUCACACUGGAACUGAGACACGGUCCAGACUCCUACGGGAGGCAGCAGUGGGGAAUAUUGCACAAUGGGGGAAACCCUGAUGCAGCAACGCCGCGUGGAGGAUGACGCAUUUCGGUGUGUAAACUCCUUUUAUAUAGGAAGAUAAUGACGGUACUAUAUGAAUAAGCACCGGCUAACUCCGUGCCAGCAGCCGCGGUAAUACGGAGGGUGCAAGCGUUACUCGGAAUCACUGGGCGUAAAGCGCGCGCAGGCGGCCUUUUAAGUUGGAUGUGAAAGCCUACGGCUCAACCGUAGAACUGCAUCCAAAACUACUAGGCUAGAGUCUGGGAGGGGAAGAUGGAAUUAGUUGUGUAGGGGUAAAAUCCGUAGAGAUAACUAGGAAUACCAAAAGCGAAGGCAAUCUUCUGGAACAGUACUGACGCUGAGGCGCGAAAGCGUGGGGAGCAAACAGGAU
rnacentral:rRNA from 1 species